UAAAUCUUUAGGAUUUCCACAUGUACUUUUUUCUUUCUAAAUAAGAAAAGGCUUAAAGAUUUGAUGACCUCUUUUUUUCUUUGAGGUAAAUCUUUAGGGUUUCCGAUGCUUUUUUUCCCUCGAAAGAAAAGUCUCAAAGAUUUGAUGAUUUCUUUUUUUUUAUUUGCUCUCAUGGAAUCGUUGAUUCCUCUUUGAGAAUUGAAUGUUUUAAUGAUUUAGAUCUAUAGUCUUCUCUGUUGUUGUCGGGUUCUGUUCCCAAAUUCUUACCUUUGCAUACGCUGCCGCAGAUGUAUUACUAACUUGGUUUGACCUAGAUGUCCUAUUCUAAUUUGGGGCUAUUUUAUGUGAAAUCUUGGUUGGAUAAUUCUUAACAUUUUUUGGAGGGUAUAUUUUAUUUGUUACUUAAAAUAAUAACUUUGGCACUUGUCUUCGAGUAUAUAAGGAAAUUUUUUUUACUUUUCCAUCAUGAAAAAAGGAAGCGAAAGCUAUCGUAUACAACAAGUUUACAAAUUUACAAAGCUUGAUGUUGUUUCUACUAUGUGUUUUCUCCAUGCUUUGGUGAGUUUGAAU
rnacentral:lncRNA from 1 species